AGAGUUUGAUCAUGGCUCAGAGCGAACGCUGGCGGAAUGCUUAACACAUGCAAGUCGCACGGGGGCUUCGGCUCUAGUGGCGGACGGGUGAGUAACGCGUAGGAACGUGUCUUGGGGUGGGGGAUAACGCUGGGAAACUGGCGCUAAUACCGCAUGUCUGCUGCGGCAGAAAGCCUUCGGGUGCCUUGAGAGCGGCCUGCGUCCGAUUAGCUAGUUGGUGGGGUAAAGGCUUACCAAGGCUUCGAUCGGUAGCUGGUCUGAGAGGACGAUCAGCCACACUGGGACUGAGACACGGCCCAGACUCCUACGGGAGGCAGCAGUGGGGAAUAUUGGACAAUGGGCGCAAGCCUGAUCCAGCAAUUCCGCGUGGGUGAAGAAGGUCUUCGGAUUGUAAAGCCCUUUCGACAGGGACGAUGAUGACGGUACCUGUAGAAGAAGCCCCGGCUAACUUCGUGCCAGCAGCCGCGGUAAUACGAAGGGGGCUAGCGUUGCUCGGAAUUACUGGGCGUAAAGGGCGCGUAGGCGGCGCUGUUAGUCAGGCGUGAAAUUCCUGGGCUCAACCUGGGGACUGCGCUUGAUACGGCAGUGCUUGAGGAUGGAAGAGGCUCGCGGAAUUCCCAGUGUAGAGGUGAAAUUCGUAGAUAUUGGGAAGAACACCGGUGGCGAAGGCGGCGAGCUGGUCCAUUACUGACGCUGAGGCGCGACAGCGUGGGGAGCAAACAGGAUUAGAUACCCUAGUAGUCC
rnacentral:rRNA from 1 species